GACGAACGCUGGCGGCGUGCCUAAUACAUGCAAGUUGAGCGCUGAAGGUUGGUACUUGUACCAACUGGAUGAGCAGCGAACGGGUGAGUAACGCGUGGGGAAUCUGCCUUUGAGCGGGGGACAACAUUUGGAAACGAAUGCUAAUACCGCAUAAAAACUUUAAACACAAGUUUUAAGUUUGAAAGAUGCAAUUGCAUCACUCAAAGAUGAUCCCGCGUUGUAUUAGCUAGUUGGUGAGGUAAAGGCUCACCAAGGCGAUGAUACAUAGCCGACCUGAGAGGGUGAUCGGCCACAUUGGGACUGAGACACGGCCCAAACUCCUACGGGAGGCAGCAGUAGGGAAUCUUCGGCAAUGGACGGAAGUCUGACCGAGCAACGCCGCGGGAGUGAAGAAGGGUUUCGGAUCGUAAAACUCUGUUGGUAGAGAAGAACGUUGGUGAGAGUGGAAAGCUCAUCAAGUGACGGUAACUACCCAGAAAGGGACGGCUAACUACGUG
rnacentral:rRNA from 1 species